ACUCCUACGGGAGGCAGCAGUGGGGAAUCUUAGACAAUGGGGGAAACCCUGAUCUAGCCAUGCCGCGUGAGUGAUGAAGGCCUUAGGGUUGUAAAGCUCUUUCAGCUGGGAAGAUAAUGACGGUACCAGCAGAAGAAGCCCCGGCUAACUCCUGCCAGCAGCCGCGGUAAU
rnacentral:rRNA from 1 species